UUAUUUAUUUAUAUUUAUAUUUAUUACACAAUUCUCGGUGUAUAUACUUGAGAGAAGUGAGUGAAGUACUUCCUAUAAGGUAGUGAAGGUCAGCCAUGUCCACAGUCCUCAGUGUUGCCUCGGCUCGUGCUGCAAGGUAAAACUCGUUAAAGAUGUCAUUAGCAGGUGACCGGGCCAUUCUCAACUCCAUAUUUAAUCCUCUGUUGCCUGUGGGAGAGUGUGUUUACCAGGAGGAUAUACCCGAGGAGCCACAAGAUUGUGAAGAAAUCUCUCCAGAAAAUGAAGAGGCCAAGAAUCAUGAAAUCAAGGGUAUCAGAGCAGCAGACACAGGCGAUAUAGAGACCGCUGUGGGAUUUUUCAACAGGGCAAUUGAAAUAGCCCCAGCAAGAGCCUCAGGAUAUAACAACAGAGCACAGGCAUUCAGGCUUCAAGGGAAGGUAGAUGAGGCAAUGACAGAUCUAAACACAGCUGUGCAACUCUGUAAUGGCAAGGGUCGAGCUGCAUGUCAAGCCUAUUCCCAAAGAGCCAUGAUCCACCGUCUUCAUGGCAAUGAUAAUCAGGCUCGUGAUGAUUUCCAGGCUGCUGCAAAUUUAGGCUCAGAGUUUGCUAAAGCACAGCUUGUUCAGAUGAAUCCUUAUGCAGCUCUUUGCAACAAAAUGCUGCAUGAUGUUUUCAGUAAGCUGCAGCGUGGUGAAUGUGCAGAUGUAUAAGGUAUCCAACAAGAAAGAUUUAAUAUGAUUUAUAGGAGUACACCAAUACAGGCAUCACCUCUCCCAUCUCUGCUGCAUCAACAUCAUCUUUUUCAACCAUCUCAAAUGCCUGAGAGUUUGAAUUUUCUGACUCUGUUUCACUUGCAGCAGUCUGUUCCUCAGCAACCCUAGAAAGAACAAAGAUGAUUCUUUAUCUGUACCACCUCAGAAGAAACAAGGCAAACCUACAACAGAGAAGCUCCUCAAGUGAAAUAAUGAGUCAACACUGCGAGAACACUUCAACCUUCAUCGACACAAUUAAACAUGAAUGGUGGUUAACAGUAUAAAAGUUUGUCUCGUACUGAGAGAGACUGCAACCCUCCCUUAUUAUGAUUAUUAUUAUAAUGAUGGGGGAGUGCUAAACCCCUUAAUUAUAAUUAGAUGGUAAAUAUUUACCCUCUAAUCAGAAACUCUUACUCGAGUUUCCAUCAUAAGAAAAAAUAAUUACUACGAACAAGAAUUAACAUGUUGAUGGAUAAUGACAUUCAAUUUAAGUAAUAAAUAAAAGUGAAGUAUAAA